rnacentral:lncRNA from 1 species
GAGAGUAGUCUCCUCGUCUUGUUCCAAUUCUCAAAGGGAAUGCUUUCACCUUUUCCCCAUUCAGUAUUAUGUUGGCUGUGGGUUUGUCAUAGAUGGCUUUUAUUACAUUAAGGUAUGUCCCUUGUAUGCCUAUUUUGCUGAGAGCUUUAAUCAUAAAGCAAUGCUAGAUUUUGUUGAAUGCUUUUUCUGCAUCUGUUGAUAUAAUCAUAGAGCCUAGAAAAUAUCACCUAGUGAAUAUCUACUUCCAUGAGGUGGAUAUUGAGGGAGAAACAGAAAAAUCCAAGACAAUCCCUUGUGGAAGAAAAUUCUCCAACCCAAAACUCAACCGAACUCAAAGGGCUGAACAGCGCGUCAAUUAAGACCUGUCAAAUAUAAUCACACGAUCUAAUAGUUUUAAAUACGCAAAAUAAAGA